UUAGGAAUCUUGCGCAAUGGGCGAAAGCCUGACGCAGCGACGUCGCGUGGGGGAGGAAGGCUUUCGGGUUGUAAACCCCUUUUAUCGAGGAAGAAACAAAUGACGGUACUCGACGAAUAAGCCCCGGCUAACUCCGUGCCAGCAGCCGCGGUAAUACGGAGGGGGCUAGCGUUGUCCGAAGUUACUGGGCGUAAAGCGCGCGUAGGCGGGUUGGUAAGUCCGCUGUGAAAGCCCGGAGCUCAACUCCGGAGGGUCGGUGGAUACUGCCAGUCUUGAAGGUGCUAGGGGGAGAUGGAAUUACCGGUGUAGCGGUGAAAUGCGUAGAUAUCGGUAGGAACACCAGUGGCGAAGGCGGUCUCCUGGGGCAUUCUUGACGCUGAGGCGCGAAAGCUGGGGGAGCAAACGGGAUUAGAUACCCCCGUAGUCC
rnacentral:rRNA from 1 species